AGAGUUUGAUCAUGGCUCAGAUUGAACGCUGGCGGCAGGCCUAACACAUGCAAGUCGAACGGUAACAGGAAGCAGCUUGCUGCUUUGCUGACGAGUGGCGGACGGGUGAGUAAUGUCUGGGAAACUGCCUGAUGGAGGGGGAUAACUACUGGAAACGGUAGCUAAUACCGCAUAACGUCGCAAGACCAAAGAGGGGGACCUUCGGGGAGGGGCCUCUUGCCAUCGGAUGUGCCCAGAUGGGAUUAGCUAGUAGGUGGGGUAACGGCUCACCUAGGCGACGAUCCCUAGCUGGUCUGAGAGGAUGACCAGCCACACUGGAACUGAGACACGGUCCAGACUCCUACGGGAGGCAGCAGUGGGGAAUAUUGCACAAUGGGCGCAAGCCUGAUGCAGCCAUGCCGCGUGUAUGAAGAAGGCCUUCGGGUUGUAAAGUACUUUCAGCGGGGAGGAAGGGAGUAAAGUUAAUACCUUUGCUCAUUGACGUUACCCGCAGAAGAAGCACCGGCUAACUCCGUGCCAGCAGCCGCGGUAAUACGGAGGGUGCAAGCGUUAAUCGGAAUUACUGGGCGUAAAGCGCACGCAGGCGGUUUGUUAAGUCAGAUGUGAAAUCCCCGGGCUCAACCUGGGAACUGCAUCUGAUACUGGCAAGCUUGAGUCUCGUAGAGGGGGGUAGAAUUCCAGGUGUAGCGGUGAAAUGCGUAGAGAUCUGGAGGAAUACCGGUGGCGAAGGCGGCCCCCUGGACGAAGACUGACGCUCAGGUGCGAAAGCGUGGGGAGCAAACAGGAUUAGAUACCCUGGUAGUCCACGCCGUAAACGAUGUCGACUUGGAGGUUGUGCCCUUGAGGCGUGGCUUCCGGAGCUAACGCGUUAAGUCGACCGCCUGGGGAGUACGGCCGCAAGGUUAAAACUCAAAUGAAUUGACGGGGGCCCGCACAAGCGGUGGAGCAUGUGGUUUAAUUCGAUGCAACGCGAAGAACCUUACCUGGUCUUGACAUCCACGGAAGUUUUCAGAGAUGAGAAUGUGCCUUCGGGAACCGUGGGACAGGUGCGGCUGUCGUCAGCUAGACAGGUGCUGCAUGGCUGUCGUCAGCUCGUGUUGUGAAAUGUUGGGUUAAGUCCCGCAACGAGCGCAACCCUUAUCCUUUGUUGCCAGCGGUCCGGCCGGGAACUCAAAGGAGACUGCCAGUGAUAAACUGGAGGAAGGUGGGGAUGACGUCAAGUCAUCAUGGCCCUUACGACCAGGGCUACACACGUGCUACAAUGGCGCAUACAAAGAGAAGCGACCUCGCGAGAGCAAGCGGACCUCAUAAAGUGCGUCGUAGUCCGGAUUGGAGUCUGCAACUCGGAGUCUGCAACUCGAGUCCGGAUUGGAGUCUGCAACUCGACUCCAUGAAGUCGGAAUCGCUACUCCAUGAAGUCGGAAUCGCUAGUAAUCGUGGAUCAGAAUGCCACGGUGAAUACGUUCCCGGGCCUUGUACACACCGCCCGUCACACCAUGGGAGUGGGUUGCAAAAGAAGUAGGUAGCUUAACCUUCGGGAGGGCGCUUACCACUUUGUGAUUCAUGACUGGGGUGAAGUCGUAACAAGGUAACCGUAGGGGAACCUGCGGUUG
rnacentral:rRNA from 1 species